UACGUAGGCAGCAAGCGUUGUUCGGAGUUACUGGGCGUAAAGAGUGCGUAGGCGGUGUCGAAAGUUUGGCGUGAAAUCUCCCGGCUUAACUGGGAGGGUGCGCCGAAAACUGCGGUGCUGGAGUGUGGGAAAGGCAAGCGGAAUUCCUGGUGUAGCGGUGAAAUGCGCAGAUAUCAGGAGGAACACCAAUGGCGAAGGCAGCUCGCUGGGACGGUACUGACGCUGAGGCGCGAAAGCGUGGGGAGCAAACAGG
rnacentral:rRNA from 1 species